GGCCCGCUAAAUUUUAACUAAUGGCCUCGUCGAGGGACCCCUUUCUUCCUUGCUCCUUGUUCCUUGCUCCUUGUUCCUUGCUCCUUGUUCCUUGUUCCUGACGAACUUUUUCCGCCACAGAUCUGUGGAGUUGAGAUAACAAGCCAACUUUUCUGGUUUCCCUGCUUGUUGUUGUUGUUGUUAUCCCACGGACGCCCUGUCCUUGAUAUGCAGCGUUUGCUUUCCAGAUUUUAUUGGGGUGUCGGAUGUUUUCUUUUUUGGGGCUUUUGGUUUUGUUUUCUCCUGUCCUUUGUGUGCCCUGCUUGGCCAAUCCCUUUAUGGGUCUGGUCCGAUUGAUCAUGGUAUGUUGUGCCAUUGUUGUUGAUCUUUCACUGGCUGGAAGAUCGCUGUUAUUGAGCAACCCGAAUCACCUGGAAGCACGAAGCGCGACCGAAAUGGGAGGAUGGGAAAGA
rnacentral:sRNA from 1 species